rnacentral:rRNA from 1 species
GGAUCAUUGAUUCUAUCGUGCAAACACCGCGAAACUACUUAUGCCCUUCUGCUGUAAGCAAGCGUUUUCGUUUGCCCUUCAGAUGCGCAGGUCAGGGGCUGGCUCCCUUUGGUGUCAGUUGACUUGGCUGGGCGGGUCCAAUACCAACCGGAUUCACCUUGCCUUUAUGGCUAGGGGUUCUGCCGGUUGUGAGGGGUGGCGGUUAACCCACUUUGCAAUCAAUUCUGAAGAUACAUCUAUGGCUGGCUUUGCUGGCUAUAGGUUGAAUAAUCAAUGACAACUCUCAACAACGGAUAUCUUGGCUCCCGUAACGAUGAAGAACGCAGCGAAAUGCGAUACGUAGUGUGAAUUGCAGAAUUCCGUGAACCAUCGAAUCUUUGAACGCAAAUUGCGCUCGAGGCUUCGGCCAAGAGCAUGUCUGCCUCAGCGUCGGCUACUACCCUCAACCAUGUUUCCUAUUAACAGUAGGGGAUGCUGGUUGGACUUGGCCGUCCGGUGUGCCUCUAAGGUUGCCGGUCAGCUGAAAUACAUUCACGCUUUGGGUGCUGCUUUCCUUUCGAGGGGAGGCGAGUUCCGAUUUGGUAGGUGACCUUUGCCGGUUGCAUGCCUUCGUUGCCCGUUAAGCUAUCCAACUAGCGAUGGGCAGGACGCCUUUUGGCUUCGACCUGA